AAUGAACGCUGGCGGCGUGCUUAACACAUGCAAGUCGAACGAGAAAGUUCUUCGGAACAAGUACAGUGGCGGACUGGUGAGUAACACGUGGGUAUCUACAUUUCAAUAGGGAAUAUACUUGGGAAACUAAGGGUAAUACCAUAUACGCUCCUUACGGAGGAAAGAAGGCCUCUUUGCUUUCGUUGAAAUAUGAGCCUGCGCACUAUUAGCUUGUUGGUAGGGUAAAAGCCUACCAAGGCGAUGAUGGUUAUCCGGCCUGAGAGGGUGAUCGGACACAUUGGGACUGAGAUAUGGCCCUGACUCCUACGGGAGGCAGCAGUGGGGAAUUUUGCGCAAUGGACGAAAGUCUGACGCAGCAACGCCGCGUGGAGGAAGAAGCUCCUUUGGAGUGUAAACUUCUGUUAAUUAGGAAGAAAAGAUAGUAGUUAAUACCUAUUAUUUAUGACGUUACUAGUAAAGAAAGCACCGGCUAAUCUCGUGCCAGCAGCCGCGGUAAUACGAGAGGUGCAAGCGUUAUUCGGAAUUAUUGGGCGUAAAGGGCGCGUAGGCGGCUUUAUAAGUUUCUUGUUUAAGACUUCGGCCUAACUGAAGAAAAGCAAGGAAUACUGUAUAGCUAGAGUAUAAUAGAGAGAAGUGGAAUUUUCGGAGUAGCGGUUAAAUGCGUAGAUCUCGAAAGGAACGCCAAUGGCGAAGGCAGCUUCUUGGGUUAUUACUGACGCUGAGGCGCGAAGGCAUGGGGAGCAAACAGGAUUAGAUACCCUGGUAGUCCAUGCAGUAAACGAUGAUCACUAGGCGUAUAUAAUUUUGUUGUAUGUGCCGCAGCUAACGCGAUAAGUGAUCCGCCUGGGGAGUACGAUCGCAAGAUUAAAACUUAAAGAAAUUGACGGGGAUCCGCACAAGCGGUGGAACAUGUGGUUUAAUUCGAUACUACGCGAGGAACCUUACCUGGGUUUGACAUGUAUAAGUCGUAUGUAGAGAUAUAUAUUCUAUGGAGCAAUUCAUAGCUUAUGCACAGGUGUUGCAUGGCUGUCGUCAGCUCGUGUCGUGAGAUGUUAGGUUAAGUCCUUUAACGAGCGCAACUCUUGUCGUUAGUUGCCACUCUAUGUAAAUAGAAGCACUCUAACGAGACUGCCUAGGAAACUAAGAGGAAGGAGGGAAUGAUGUCAAGUCCGCAUGACCCUUAUGUCCAGGGCUACACACGUGUUACAAUGGGUAUUACAAAGAGAUGCCAACCCGCGAGGGGGAGCUAAUCUCACAAAAUUACUCUCAGUUCGGAUUAGAGUCUGCAAUUCGACUCUACGAAGUUGAAAUCGCUAGUAAUCGCGUAUCAGAACGACGCGGUGAAUACGUUCUCGGAUCUUGUACACACCGCCCGUCAAGCCAUGAGAGCUGUCUGCACCAGAAAAUAUUUUAGCUAACCGUAAGGAGGCAGGUAUUUAAGGUGUGGAGGGUGAUUGGGGCU
rnacentral:rRNA from 1 species